rnacentral:rRNA from 1 species
AUGUCAACCAAGGGCGCAUGCAGGGAUGAGACGAUCGUCAAGGCGACCGCGCCGAGACUCCCGUUGGAUCUCCUCGUCGAGGUAGCCGCGCGCUCCGACCCCGCGGCCAUCGUCCGCUGCGCCGCGGCCUGCAAACGGCUCCGCGGCGCCAUCAUCGACCAGGACUUCCGCCGCCGUCUGGCCCUCCGCGCCGCUGCCAACGGCGGCUUCAACCCUGCCCUCCUCCGCGGCAUCUCCUACUGGAGCCAGUGCUGGGACGGCAGUUCCCGUCCCCCCAAGAACGUGGCCCGGAAGACCGUGCCGCCGCAGUCCUUCCCCGCCCGCUUCAAUGCCAGCCUCGAGCUCGAGCCCGUGGCCUCGCGGGACGGCCUCGUCGUCCUCCGCCACGACCGCCAUCCUUUACCCAAGUUCAGGGUGUGCAACAGCUUCACCGGCGACGCCUCCGACGUCCCUCCCACGGAGGUGUACGGCUGCAACAAGUUCGCCUUGGUCGCCGUCGACGACCACUGCCGCUCCUUCCAGCUGCUGGCCGCGGACGAGAUCCUCUGGACGCAGAUCUACUCGUCGCGGGACGGAGGAUGGGGCGCCCUCCGCGCACCCCGCCUCUCCCCGCACCACCCACCAUUCAAAUCAUGCAACGACUCCCACCCCGUGGUCACCGGGCGCACCGUGCACUGGUACGUACGCCUCCUCCCGGAUCUCGAUCACCACGAGCACGACCUGCGAAUCAUCGCUCUGGACGUGGACACGGGGGCGGUGAGGAUGAUGGAGCUGCCGUGGGACUUGAUCGACGGAGUGGAGCCACCUGCCACUAGAGUGAAUGCGACACCUAUGCUGGUCGUCUCCGGGGCCGGGGAGCUGGGCGUGGUCGCGUCGGAGGCGCAGGCGAUAGCGAUGUGGACGUUGUCGUCGGAGGGGACGUGGCGCCGGCGGGUGCUGGUGGACAUGGUCGACUGGGGUGUUGGGCACAGCCCGGUUCGCUUCCAUGGAAUCGGGGAGAGGAGCGGCACGCUGGUGUUGUCUGUGAGCGCAGUUGGGCUCGUCCAGCUCAACGUGGUGACUGGACAGGCCCGCGUCCUGCGCCACGGGAGACAUACGUCCCCGCGUGUGUGCGUGCACGACAUUAAUCUGGACUCCAUGCUCCAGGCUAUGAAGCCAUUACUAAGCUGA